GAAAUGCGAUAAGUAAUGUGAAUUGCAGAAUUCAGUGAAUCAUCGAAUCUUUGAACGCACAUUGCGCCCCUUGGUAUUCCGAGGGGCAUGCCUGUUCGAGCGUCAUUACAACCCUCAAGCUCUGCUUGGUAUUGGGCUUCACCUGUAAGGGCGUGCCUUAAAAUCAGUGGCGGUGCCAUCUGGCUCUAAGCGUAGUAAUACUUCUCGCUAUAGUGUCUUGUGGUGACUUGCCAACAACCCCUAAUUUUCUAUGGUUGACCUCGGAUCAGGUAGGGAUACCCGCUGAACUUAA
rnacentral:misc_RNA from 1 species